rnacentral:rRNA from 1 species
UACAGAGGUCUCAAGCGUUGUUCGGAUUCAUUGGGCGUAAAGGGUGCGUAGGCGGUCAGCACAAGUCAAUUGUGAAAUCUCCGAGCUUAACUCGGAAAGGUCAACUGAAACUGUGCGACUAGAGUGCGGAAGGGGCAACUGGAAUUCUUGGUGUAGCGGUGAAAUGCGUAGAUAUCAAGAGGAACACCUGCGGCGAAGGCGGGUUGCUGGGCCGACACUGACGCUGAAGCGCGAAAGCCAGGGGAGCGAACGGG